GGGGCCUUAGCUCAGUUGGCAGAGCGCCUGCUUUGCAAGCAGGAAGUCAGGGGUUCGAAUCCCCUAGGCUCCACCA
rnacentral:tRNA from 1 species